rnacentral:misc_RNA from 1 species
GAUGAAGAACGCAGCGAAAUGCGAUAAGUAAUGUGAAUUGCAGAAUUCAGUGAAUCAUCGAAUCUUUGAACGCACAUUGCGCCUCUUGGUAUUCCGAGGGGCAUGCCUGUUCGAGCGUCAUUAUAACCCCUCAAGCUUAGCUUGGUGUUGGGGCCUGCUGUAAUAGAGCAGCCCUUAAAAUCAGUGGCGGUGCCAUUAGGCUCUAAGCGUAGUAAUUCUUCUCGCUAUAGGGUUCUGGUGGAUGCUUGCCAUUAACCUCUAAUUUUCUAUGGUUGACCUCGGAUCAGGUAGGGAUACCCGCUGAACUUAAGCAUAUCAAUAAGCGGAGGA